GAUGAACGCUGGCGGUGUGCCUAAUACAUGCAAGUCGAGCGAACAGACGAGGAGCUUGCUCCUCUGACGUUAGCGGCGGACGGGUGAGUAACACGUGGAUAACCUACCUAUAAGACUGGGAUAACUUCGGGAAACCGGAGCUAAUACCGGAUAAUAUAUUGAACCGCAUGGUUCAAUAGUGAAAGACGGUUUUGCUGUCACUUAUAGAUGGAUCCGCGCCGCAUUAGCUAGUUGGUAAGGUAACGGCUUACCAAGGCAACGAUGCGUAGCCGACCUGAGAGGGUGAUCGGCCACACUGGAACUGAGACACGGUCCAGACUCCUACGGGAGGCAGCAGUAGGGAAUCUUCCGCAAUGGGCGAAAGCCUGACGGAGCAACGCCGCGUGAGUGAUGAAGGUCUUCGGAUCGUAAAACUCUGUUAUUAGGGAAGAACAAAUGUGUAAGUAACUAUGCACGUCUUGACGGUACCUAAUCAGAAAGCCACGGCUAACUCCGUG
rnacentral:rRNA from 1 species